rnacentral:rRNA from 1 species
UACGUAGGGUGCGAGCGUUGUCCGGAAUUACUGGGCGUAAAGAGCUCGUAGGUGGUUUGUCGCGUUGUUCGUGAAAACCGGGGGCUUAACCCUCGGCGUGCGGGCGAUACGGGCAGACUUGAGUACUGCAGGGGAGACUGGAAUUCCUGGUGUAGCGGUGGAAUGCGCAGAUAUCAGGAGGAACACCGGUGGCGAAGGCGGGUCUCUGGGCAACAACUGACGCUGAGGAGCGAAAGCGUGGGGAGCGAACAGGG